ensembl:lncRNA
UGUAGAAAAAGCAUUAUUAUUCUAACAGGAAAUAAGUUGUCUCUUUUUUAUUUUCAGGGCCACAGAGGAUUUGCCAAGGCCACACUACUUAUCGCCAAUAGAAUACUAGCAAAAAACAAGUCUCAUUGGCUGUCAAUGUACUCUCAAGGGAGAAUCUGUUCUCCAAAGUAUUCGCCGCUCCGAGAUGGUUCAUCAUGUAGCUGUGCAGUCGCGUCCAUCCUGGAAACAUACCCUGUUCUUCAGAUGGAAAGCAGACGAGCUACAGCAGCUGUGCGUGGCGGCGGGGGGAGAAAAACAGGCACGCAGACAGCUCUGACAAGCAAUUAAACUGUAGCUUGUUUGGGAGGGAGGUUGGGAUGAGCUCUGGCCUGCUGGCGGGGCGGAAGAUUGAAUACUCCGGAGACUGCGCAGAAAAUGGCCGCAGGGCAAACACAGUGGUGGGUCUAGCACACACACACACACACACACACACACACACACAUGCACACACACACUGCGUUUGAUUGUAUUCUAACGCCCGUGCUGUUGAUUGAGCACGUCUGGUGUGAUGGAAAUAGUUGAUUUGCCACAAUUGAGGCGAAUAGUUGCACAUCACGACACCUAAUUUGCCUUAAUGUGCAACAUCAUAACCUAGAAAAUCUGGCAUCUGUUAUUGUUGCUUUGAGUGCAGAAACAGGCUGUAGAUCUGAAAUAGCAAUAACUUUGUUCACAACAACAUGCCUGUUUGUGCACCUUCAUAAGUAGUUUGUGUUUAAAUGACUUGUACUGUUAUAGACCUUUUGAUACCUUUUUCAUGAUACUAUUAGCUUAUUUGUUGUUAUUAUUCUGAAGGUGAAAAUAGCCUGUUUCUGUUAAUGAUAAUCUAAACAACCCCCACAACUAAGUUUUCUGUUCCGCACCCCUGUCAUAUUUAUAUUUUAAAGUUUCCACAGCAACACCUUUUUUCUUGGGUUAUGUUCAUAGUUGUCCGUUUUAAUAAUAGUCCAUGAGACAAACGUCAGUAAACACUAUUCCGAGGAGUUUAUGGUAUCAGGCUUUAGUUUCAAGUCCACUUUAAUACAGCAUGAUGUUUGAUGGGUAAAUUGGGGUCCAUUUUGACUCAAAUUGACCAUUAAACAAUGUAUGCUUUGGGGCGUGGAUGCCUUGUGAUUGACAGCUAUUACUGUCCAAUCGGUGCACGGGCGUUCGUGCAAUGGACAACCUCUCAGUCAGACCCACACCAAGAUCCUCCAAAUAUUGUUACUUGUGGUUCUAAAAAACUAAUAUAGUGCCUGCUCCAAAUUCUUAACUCGAGGCUUCAAAACUGCAGUUCACAAAUGAAUGGGUGAUGUCAUAAAAACAUGGACGUGAGUUCUAAGCUAGAAUCAAUUUUACGGCAGACUCAGAACUUGAGUUACUAUCGUCCAGUCUCAAGCAAGCGCUGACACAAAAACAGGAUUCUGUGGAAUCCUGGACAGGAUCGCUCAUUACCAACCAGUAAUGAACAAUGAGUGUUUUUGCUACACGCUAAUUUUUUGGGUACUGACUCAUUGUAUGUUUAAUUUGGACACA